GCGGCCGGCGGUUCUGAUGUCAUCGUCAGGUGCUACAAUGUGUGCGUGCGGGGCUGAGCGUGGAGAAGCAGGAACAGGAGACGGGCACCGUCCCGGCGAGCGAAGUGCUGCCUCUCCAUGACAGCCUGCAUGUGAUUUGAUUGCUGCCUGCGAGACAUGCACGAAUACACUUCAUCUACAUGACUAGGAGAUGGAGACUGCAACUUGUCCUUCGUUUGGGUUCCCAUGGAGUGGAAAGGGACCAGAAACACUGCUUUUGAGUUCAGGGUGCUGAUGUUGUUCUGGGCAGAGGAGCCCUAAAAGUUGUUGCCUGGCAUUUGGUGAAAAAUAAAAAAAAUAGCAUAAUCCCUGUUU